AUACGGAGGGUGCAAGCGUUAAUCGGAAUUACUGGGCGUAAAGCGCGCGUAGGCGGCUCAGUCAGUCGGAUGUGAAAGCCCUGGGCUCAACCUGGGAAUUGCACUCGAUACUGCAGAGCUAGAGUAUGGUAGAGGGAAGUGGAAUUUCCGGUGUAGCGGUGAAAUGCGUAGAUAUCGGAAGGAACACCAGUGGCGAAGGCGACUUCCUGGGCCAAUACUGACGCUGAGGUGCGAAAGCGUGGGGAGCAAACAGGAUUAGAAACCCCGGUAGUCC
rnacentral:rRNA from 1 species